rnacentral:rRNA from 1 species
UACGUAGGGGGCAAGCGUUGUCCGGAAUUAUUGGGCGUAAAGAGCGUGUAGGCGGUCCGGUAAGUCGGCUGUGAAAGUCCAGGGCUCAACCCUGGGAUGCCGGUCGAUACUGCCGGACUAGAGUUCGGAAGAGGCGAGUGGAAUUCCCGGUGUAGCGGUGAAAUGCGCAGAUAUCGGGAGGAACACCUAUGGCGAAGGCAGCUCGCUGGGACGUUACUGACGCUGAGACACGAAAGCCAGGGGAGCGAACGGG